rnacentral:lncRNA from 1 species
AAUCUUCUGAUCCAUCCAAUCUCUCAUUUUACACUUGAAGAAACUGAGGCUGAGAAAGGGGAAGUGACUUGGCCAAGGCCACACAGCAAGGUCAAGAUCCAAGACUAAAACCAAUUGCUUCUCUGUUUUGCUUAUUACUACAGCACAGAAAUAAAGAAAUAGAGAAUGGGAGAGGAGAGGUAGGUGUGGGGAGGCGAUAUGAAAACAUGGAACAAGUGCUCUGCUUUUAGAAUAACUAGAACUUUGAGCCCAGAAGAUUUCUUUUCUUUUAAUAAAUAAAUGUUUUAUAAUCUUACUUCUGUGGCUGGUGGGAAAAAAAGUCCUUCAAGUCCCCAAGGAAUGUUAGGAAAACCUCCAUUAAAUUCUAGUCUUCAAAUCUGAGUCAUAAUAACUAUAAUAAACUCUGGGAGUGUUUCCUUAGAGUUUCUCUUUUAGGGUGGAGAGGAGGCAGCAAAAAGAAUAGGCAAGUUUUCACAAGAAAAACUUGUAAAUAGGCAAGUAUAACAAGAAAAUGUAUAAACCGGGAUGGCUUCAUAAUUAGGCAUAGCCUAAUUGUGCUUAUGUGUCUAGUCAAGAAACUCUAUCUAGAGUUCCAGGGGAAGAAGGUGUUGGGGAUGAGGGAGUAGGAUUGGUUUGAGGGUAGUAGACUAUAUAAGGCAUCAUGCUCCUUCCCAUGGAGG